rnacentral:lncRNA from 1 species
AUUUAAACGGAGGGGCAAGGGGGUCAGUUACUCACCUUCAUGUGCAAAGGGAAGCAGAGAGAAAGUAGCCUGGAGACAAAUACACACACCCACACGAGGGACAAUAACUGUCUAGGUUCCUGCUGCUUUUCCAAUUGCUGGUUCCAGUUCCCAAUGAGGCCUGACUGGAGCUCUGGACAUGGUGGUGUAUUGAGGACCUACACAGAAACUGGGUUCUUGUGGACUCUGUUGGAGCUCUCAUCUCAACCUGACAACCUGGAGAUGGGCAAAGUACAGGGGGAGUUACGCUUCGCUCAGGACCUUGCGUGUGUGGUCUUUCUUGGACAAGAAAGCACAUUGGACUCCUCCCGUCAAGCCCUUUCUUCCCUGUAUCUGAGGUGGGACGCCUACCACGACAAGGCUCUUGCCAAGCAGUGCCACGUCUGCACCCAGGAUCCGACCCGGCGAACCCUGGGCCACCGAAGCGGAACGUGCGCACUUAACCGCUGCGCCACCAGGCUGGCCCCAGAAUUUCUAAUUUUUAAAAACAAUUUAUUUCUCUCUAUGUAUUCUCCAUUUAGUGAGACCCUGUCUUCAUACUUUCCUUAAGUUCUUUAGGCAUGGUUUACUUUAGUCCUUUGAGCAUAUUUAAAAUAUCCCAUGUAAUAUCUUUGUCUAGGAAGCCAAUAUAUGUGCUUCCCCAGGGAAGGUUUCUAUUGACUGAUAUUUAUCCUGUGUAUGGACCAUACUUUCUUGUUUCUUUAUAUGCCUCAUAAAUUUUUGUUCAAAACUAGACAUUUUAAGUAAUAGAAUAUGCCAAUUCUGGAAAUAAGAUUCUUCCCUCUUUCCAGUGAUUGUUGUUGAUCUCAGAUGUGGUUGCUGUUUUUUUGUUUAAUAACAAAUGGGGAAAAUGGCAAUUAAAGGAUUAAAGUAUAAAUAAAUUGUGAUCUAUGAAUACAAGGACAUAUUACUAGAUGUUAAAGGUCACAGAUAGUAGACAACUGUGGCUUGAAGUCUGAGGUCAGGAGAUGUUAACUGCAAAGAGGCUCAAGGAAAUUCUGAGGUGACGGAAUUGUGGUAUAUAU